rnacentral:lncRNA from 1 species
CAAACAGGAAGUGGGUUGAGGCAAUAUGUCGCUGGACAGCAGAUGAUGGCUCACGUAAUUAUUAUAAGAUUGCCUUUAUUAACCUUUCCCUAUGUUUUACAAGAGGAGGAAUGCUGGAAGUUUGUAGGAAUAUGACAUGGAGGCAUUUUGGAUUUUGUGAGAGUACCCAUGUCAGAAUGAGAGGCGAGCACAGUCAUUAUGCCUAAUGAGUCUAGCUACCUCCAUUAAAGGCUCCUUCCUAGAAUGUGUGUCUAUUCGAUGCAUUUUGUGCAUCGAUUUGCUUUGGCUUUCUGGUCCAUGCUAUGUGGUAUCCCUACACAGAUGUCUUAGCAAUAUGGAAUAUCUCCUCACGUACUUGAUGAAGCAGAGGCUGAGGAGUGGGAUUAUAGGAAGUCAUCGUUACCUGUGAUUUGACGAGACUCUAUUGCAAGUAUCUUCCGUGAAGCCGCACGAAGCAGGAAGCCAGUAUGACUGGGUUGCUCACUCCCCCAAAACCGGAAGUUCACACACGAAUUUAUUCAGCUUCUAUGAAUUCCGAUUCUCCGG